rnacentral:rRNA from 1 species
AUUGAACGCUGGCGGCAUGCUUUACACAUGCAAGUCGAACGGUAACAGGCCUUCGGGUGCUGACGAGUGGCGCACGGGUGAGUAAUGCAUCGGAACGUACCCAGAGGUGGGGGAUAACGCAGCGAAAGCUGUGCUAAUACCGCAUGUGAUCUGAGGAUGAAAGCGGGGGACCGAGCAGCAAUGUUUGGCCUCGCGCCUUUGGAGCGGCCGAUGUCGGAUUAGCUAGUUGGUGGGGUAAAGGCCUACCAAGGCGACGAUCCGUAGCUGGUCUGAGAGGACGACCAGCCACACUGGGACUGAGACACGGCCCAGACUCCUACGGGAGGCAGCAGUGGGGAAUUUUGGACAAUGGGCGCAAGCCUGAUCCAGCAAUGCCGCGUGCGGGAAGAAGGCCUUCGGGUUGUAAACCGCUUUUGGCAGGAACGAAACGGUGUCCGCUAAUACCGGGCGCUAAUGACGGUACCUGCAGAAUAAGCACCGGCUAACUAUGUG